rnacentral:sRNA from 1 species
ACCUGUCGCGGGUGGCGCCGAAGGUGCCCGCGACGCAAGACAGAACACGUGUCCUGGGAACAUCGGGGCACUUCAGGGCGUU